UCACUUCCUCCUCCUCCUCGUUUCCAACGAAAAACCCUCUUUAUUCUCUCGCCAUGGAGUUUGUUCUUCCAGCUUCAAGUUCAAGUCCUUACUAUUACCCUUACUUUUGUUUCACACUUAUUUAUCUUCAUUUACACUGAAUCCAUUUGAUUGCUUGGGAACCAGGCAGGUUUCUUCCAACAACAAUGCCGCAGCAUCUGUUUCUGGAAAUCAAAAAUCAAUGUUUAGGAAGAGCAGAAUCAAUCUAAUUCCAAGGGCGUUGAGGAAGGACAAGUAUCAAUAGAGGAUGGCAAGCAGUGUAACAAUGAAACAAACAACUUCCUAAUUGUGGACCGAGAUCAGGAUAUUGUGAUGAUUGAUUUAGAUGAUGACGACGAAGACGAUGAUGGAAACCUAAUUCUUGAUGAUUGAUCAGGGCAGACAAAAGAAGCGGCAAUCCCUAGGUGAAACUCCCCUAUCCUGGGAAGCUAUAGAAGGGUGCUUGGCUGCCGUGGAUUAUCUUCUUGAAUGGGUGCCAGAUGAUUCAAAUUGUAGUCCUUUGCAAUAUGCCACUAUGAAAGGUUGCAGGACAUAUAGAUGUCAUACGCUUGCUACUUUCAAAUCAACGUGGAUGUUACAAAUGAACUUGGCUCAGCGUUACUAUAUGCUACCGCCCAUGGUACCACGAUACUGUAAAAGUUCUUCUGGAUCUUGGUGUCAAUCCGAAUUUGGUCUUCCAUGAUGCAUUGACUGCACUUCAUUCAUCUAUCCGUUCACAAUCUUUGCUAUGUGUGGUGUCAUUACGGAAGAUGGAAAACCUCUGACUAUUGCAGCUGAAUUGGGGGUAUACAAAUCAUUAAGCUGCUGGUUGAAGCUGGUGCAGAUCCAAAUGUUACAGAUAUACUCGGGCUAAAGCCAGUAAAAGUCACAGCUGUUAAAGAUAAUUGUCGAGGUGUUGAGAUUCUUUUUCCUGUGACUUCUCCUAUUCCAUCAUAUGUUCACUGGAGCAUAAAUGAAAUAAUGAAGCCUGUACAUUCUUAGAGAAACAAGGAGCAAUUUCUUGAGAUUAAAUCAAGGGGAACAAGUGAAUUUCUGAGGAAGGAGUAUUCUUGGGCGGUAUAUUGGUACUCAGAGGCCCUCGUUAGGAAACCUGGUGAUGCAGCUGUGCUAUCCAACAGGAGUUUGUGCUAUGUGUAUUUAAAUAAAGGAGAUCCUGCUUUUGAAGAUGCUACUCAAUGGGUGUUGGCAAGACCAGACUGGCCUAAGGCGUAUUAUAGGGCAGGCGUAGCACUCAAACUGCUGAAUAGGCGUGAUGAUGCAGCAGAUGCCUUUUUCAAUGGUUUGAAACUGGAUCCUGAAAAUAGAGAGCUUCGAAAUGCAUUCAGGGAUGCUUCUAAGGCUGUUGAUAGAGGUAGCUUUGCCUGUCAUUUCUCUACUGGAUAGAAACGGAACAUGAAAAGUUUGGCUUUGAGCUGGAAGCCUACGCCCCGUGAAAUAUGAGCAAUUUGCAGACUUGCUUAAUGGUCUAUGCAAGAUAUUCAAUUAGGAGAAACUAAUGGAAGAGGAAUAUAUUAUUGGACUCAAACAGGAUGACCAAAGUAUAUAUUUGGACCUGGGUGGUCAAUCUGAGAUUGGUGGUGCAACCCUUGAGACACUACAUCAAGAACUCGUGGAGAGUUUUAAAGUUACCUAGAAACUUGCUGGUCUUCGUGAAUUGUUUCUUAUGUUGCCAAAUCACUCUAUCUGAACGGAAUAAACAUCAAAUUAAGUGGGAGUAUCAUGGUCAUCAGUGCGAACCGUCCACGGGUUUCUGAUCUUUUCAGCUCUCAUGAAAUCAUGAAAAUGCUAGAUGAUGUUCUGUUUACAAAUUCCAUGGGUGGCCCAUCAAUUUGAAUGUUGGCCACUAGCCAGUAUGGUUAUAAAGAAAUUCAAGGAAUGGGAACAACAAGUGAAGAACUGGGAGGAAAAAGACCAACAAGAGAUGGAGAGAGGGAGGUUGAAAGUUCGUUGGAAAGAGUCUGUUUCAUCUUAUCAACCAUUGUUUGUUGAGACAAUUAGAAUCCCGGGGGUAUGUAUUACCAUGCAUUCCAUCCCAUUGCAUCAGUCGUGGGUUCACCAAGUUUGUCGUUAUGCUUAUGGGUUUUUUUCCUUUCCAUGGCUUUUAAAUGUAAAUUUCAUUUAGUGUUCAAUAAAUAUGCCCAUCAUGUUUUGUUUCA